rnacentral:rRNA from 1 species
UUAAGUCAGGAGCCGUCACAGGUGCUGCAUGGCUGUCGUCAGCUCGUGCCGUGAGGUGUAUGGUUAAGUCCUGCAACGAGCGCAACCCUCGUCGCUAGUUGAUUUCUCUAGCGAGACUGCCCCGCAAACGGGGAGGAAGGUGGGGAUGACGUCAAGUCAGCAUGGCCUUUAUAUCUUGGGCUACACACACGCUACAAUGGAUGGCACAAUAGGUUGCAACAGCGCGAGCUGAAGCUAAUCCCCAAAGCCAUCCUCAGUACAGAUUGCAGGCUGAAACCCGCCUGCAUGAAGUCGGAGUUGCUAGUAACCGCAAAUCAGCAUGUUGCCGGUGAACUACGUUCUCGGGCCUU